GUAGGGAAUAUUGGACAAUGGGGGCAACCCUGAUCCAGCGACGCCGCGUGAGUGAUGAAGGCCUUCGGGUCGUAAAGCUCUGUUGCAGGGGAAGAACACAAUGACGGUACCCUGCUAGAAAGGAUCGGCUAACUUCGUGCCAGCAGCCGCGGUAAGACGAGGGAUCCUAGCGUUGUUCGGAAUUAUUGGGCGUAAAGCGGGUGCAGGUGGCUUGGUAAGUCAGAUGUGAAAGCCUGGGGCUUAACCCCAGAAGUGCAUUUGAUACUACUGAGCUUGAGUGCUGGAGAGGCUAUUAGAAUUCCUGGUGUAGUGGUGAAAUACGUAGAUAUCAGGAGGAAUACCGGAGGCGAAGGCGGAUAGCUGGCCAGACACUGACACUCAGACCCGAAAGCGUGGGGAUCAAACAGGAUUAGAUACCCGGGUAGUCC
rnacentral:rRNA from 1 species